AUCUUUAAACUCAUUUCAAGAUCAUCAAGCUGUUCAUUGAGAAAACGAUUUUUCAAAAAAACCUUUCGAGGUCUCUCGUCUCUUUUUUUCUUCUCCUCAUUUCUUCUCUUUAUCUUUCUCUUUAGACUAGAAGGAUAGCAUCUGCAUCCACCCAACAGUCCAUCCAAGAAGCAAACCAGCACCAACAAGACUCAUCCCCAAAGCUAAACCAACCGCGUACUUAGCUCCAUUCGGUUUACCCCUUUUGCUUCUUCUCUUUCUCCCCAGUUUUCUUGCUUUCCCAUUGCUCCAACAAGGGAUGGGAACCAUUGGCUCGUUGCUGUCCUUGUUCUCAAUCUUCUUGUUCUUGAUUUGGAGGUAAAGUGCUUCGAGCUGAAGCAGUUGUAACCACUGCUUAUACCCGAAAAGCUCUGAGGCUUGCUUGAACAAGAUCUUCACCAAGUGCUCUUUCUCUGCAUAAGCUUCUUUAGCCAUGUUCUCCGCUUCCCUAGCCCGCGUUUGGGAAUGCCUCAGCGCUUCCAGUAGCUCGGAUUUGCUUAGAUCAGACUCAGACGAAGCCUCUGUUCUGUUCUUGCAGCUGCUUCCUCUGCUCGGCCCGUGCUCGUGGAUGGUUUGGCCAGAGACAGAGUAGUCUCUGAAUCCAUCAGAAUCAAAACCACGCGGACUACCAUAAUAAGAUCGUUUCAUCUUAUGUGGUGUUGGUAAAUCACAAUUCUCAACAUAGUCUAGCGAUCUUUGUGCAACCAAUGAAGCUAACUCGUCUUUAUCCGUAGUUCGCCACCACGGUCCAGCUUUCUCGCUCGAGAGUGGAUUCCAAGGCGAGCUGGGAUCAAAAGAGAGCUCACUUAACUUUUUCUCAGAGGACUCAUCAUAACUUUCCCUUGUUUCCCCCAACUCUAUAAACUCUUGAAAGCUUUCGGAAUUAAAAGACUUUCCUUGUUUCUCUCCAGAUCCCAGUUCAGACUUCUUCUCAGAUACACCUUGACUGUUAACCUCAGCCUCCAAAGGCAUCUUAUACACCUGAAAGUGAUGAUGAUGAUGACUCCACAAUCUGGUGUUGUGGGGUAACAGAUCAGGGAAAUUCGGGUUUCGAUGAAGAGGCAUGGAACCUGCACAAGAUGAUUGCUUCCGUGGAUCAACAGAAACUCGAGGAGACGAACCAGAAUCGUCAACUUGCUUAGUUGAAGGAGUAGUUGAGGAGGAGGAUGAAGAUUGGCAAUAGGUUAACUUGGGAGCUCUUUUAGCGUCUUCUUGGACAAAGCAACGGUUAACAGUUCUUUGCCACACUGCUCUUGCUUCAGCUGCUGCCAUUAUUUCACCAUAACUCUGAAGAAACACAAGAGAUUGAGAAUCAAAUUCAAGAUCAAUGUGAUUCAGAAAUUAGGCAGUCUUAUUAACCGUUUUGAAUCUAUUCAUAGGAAGACAAAAAAUGAAUCAUUUCUUUCAAAGGAAGAAUCUUUCUGAUUGCCGACAGAUCCAUCACCAAAAAGCCUAUCAAAAACUCCUUUUUAAACAAUAAGAGAAUCUCAUGUUUUGCUUUAAUGGAAAACUGAAGAAUUAGUU
rnacentral:lncRNA from 1 species